rnacentral:rRNA from 1 species
GACGAACGCUGGCGGCGUGCUUAACACAUGCAAGUCGAACGCAGUGGCGAACGGGUGAGUAACGCGUAAUCAAACUGCCCUUCAGAGGGGGACAACAGUUGGAAACGACUGCUAAUACCGCAUCCUGAAGGUGUGGUUUGCGUCUGAUGAGCUAGUUGGAGGGGUAACGCCUCACCAAGGCGAUGAUCAGUAGCCGGUCUGAGAGGAUGAACGGCAACAUUGGGACUGAGACACGGCCCAGACUCCUACGGGAGGCAGCAGUGGGGAAUCUUCCGCAAUGGACGAAAGUCUGACGGAGCAACGCCGCGUGAGUGAUGACGGCCUUCGGGUUGUAAAGCUCUGUUAAUCGGGACGCGGUACCGGAAUAGAAAGCCACGGCUAACUACGUGCCAGCAGCCGCGGUAAUAC